rnacentral:rRNA from 1 species
GACGAACGCUGGCGGCGUGCCUAAUACAUGCAAGUCGAACGCUUCUUUCCUCCCGAGUGCUUGCACUCAAUUGGAAAGAGGAGUGGCGGACGGGUGAGUAACACGUGGGUAACCUACCCAUCCGAGGGGGAUAACACUUGGAAACAGGUGCUAAUACCGCAUAACAGUUUAUGCCGCAUGGCAUAAGAGUGAAAGGCGCUUUCGGGUGUCGUUGAUGGAUGGACCCGCGGUGCAUUAGCUAGUUGGUGAGGUAACGGCUCACCAAGGCCACGAUGCAUAGCCGGCCUGAGAGGGUGAUCGGCCACACUGGGACUGAGACACGGCCCAGACUCCUACGGGAGGCAGCAGUAGGGAAUCUUCGGCAAUGGACGAAAGUCUGACCGAGCAACGCCGCGUGAGUGAAGAAGGUUUUCGGAUCGUAAAACUCUGUUGUUAGAGAAGAACAAGGACGUUAGUAACUGAACGUCCCCUGACGGUAUCUAACCAGAAAGCCACGGCUAACUACGUG